rnacentral:sRNA from 1 species
UAGGCUUUGCCUGCUAUCUCUUACCCAUGUCUUUUAAGUACCUUACGUUUCCUCGGCGGGUCCGCCCGCCGAUUGGACAAUUUAAACCAUUUGCAGUUGCAAUCAGCGUCUGAAAAAACUUAAUAGUUACAACUUUCAACAACGGAUCUCUUGGUUCUGGCAUCGAUGAAGAACGCAGCGAAAUGCGAUAAGUAGUGUGAAUUGCAGAAUUCAGUGAAUCAUCGAAUCUUUGAACGCACAUUGCGCCCCUUGGUAUUCCAUGGGGCAUGCCUGUUCGAGCGUCAUUUGUACCUUCAAGCUCUGCUUGGUGUUGGGUGUUUGUCUCGCCUCUGCGUGUAGACUCGCCUCAAAACAAUUGGCAGCCGGCGUAUUGAUUUCGGAGCGCAGUACAUCUCGCGCUUUGCACUCAUAACGACGACGUCCAAAAGUACAUUUUUACACUCUUGACCUCGGAUCAGGUAGGGAUACCCGCUGAACUUAAGCAUAUCAAUAAGCGGAGGA